CUCUUACUGGAGAUCCCUGCCUACCUGAGGCCUUCUAAAGGACCCGCUGACAGCGAGGAGAAACCUGCCCCAUACAUGGCAGAUGGUCUGAUGAGCAAUCAGGCUCAUUGCUGGCUGGGCAGGAGGGGGAACGGUGAAGCUGAGAUUAGAGAGGAAAUCAAGACAGAGGUUUCUUCCGCACAGCGAGGUGUUAUUAUUAUCAUCAAAACCCCAGAGUGUUGAAAAACAAUCAAACCCCGGUGGCAGCAACCUGUGCAUUGCAGCGAGUGCAAUCAGACACCAAACGUGUCCUUGUCUGGGACUUGAGCCUGACAUCUCCAGCUCUUGAAAUUUGGGAGAAGGUGGCAAUUUGGCCUUGCUGCUUAUUUGUUGCUGAAAAAAGGAUUAGCAACCUUGACACCAAGCUGUGCUUCCACUCACAAUGGGAAGCCUUCAGGGAUGGAGACCCAGGACAGCGGCUCCGACUGCGCUGCUGCAGUCUUUUCUGAAAGAAAAGGAGAUGCACCUGGCAGCUGCUUAAUGAGAGCUCUGAAGGAGACCUGUGGAGCCCUUUAGCAGAGGUGUUAAUUACUAAUUGCGCCUGGGAUAAAAUGGGAGCCUGCCACUGUAGAAUAAUGCAUCUGUACCUAUAAUUGGUGCAGUGAUCCCCAGGGAUUGCAGGGAGGAUGCUCUGAGCAGUCACACCCCUGGCUCCAUGCUGGGCUGUUCCUGGUGCCACUGGGGCUCCCCUGUCCGUUGUGUCAUCUGAGCUCUGCUCCUAGCGUAGGGGACAGCAGAGCUGCCUGGGACAGCUGCAGGGCCAUUGGCAAGGAUGCUGGGUGCAUUGCUGACACGUGGCCAAGGGAUACAUUAUGAGAGGAGUAACCCCAUAGAUCACCAUGAUGGAGAUUUACUUUUAAUAAGGCAAUAAUUUGCUUGAUGCAUCACACUGCAGCCAGGCAAGGAGCAACAAGAUGCUCCAUCAAUUCCCAAUAGGCCAUCACUCUCGGGUCAGGAACCAAGGAAACAGCAUCCUCCUCCCUGUCCCCACCCCACCCCCCCAUAGAGUACGCAGAAGGGCACAGGGUGAUGCUCGUGGGCAGCUGCUGUUUGGGGAUGUGCAGGAAUUGCCACAUUGCAGAGUGAGCAACGCUGGCAGUAAAACAACAGAACCAUUCUCUGAGCAAUUUGUAGCAAUUAAUAGCCAUUCCCAGGAAUGAAAUGUUAAUUAAUUCAUUCUGCGAGCCACGCGUUUAUUUAAGGUAUUUGUGGGUGUUCUCAGUACUUUUAUUAAGCAAUUAAAACGCGUCCGAGAAAAUAUUUAUCUAUUUUAAGUCACUCUUAGUAAACACAAUUUAUAUGGCAGGCAACUGCUUCAUUUUGCACUGUUAAUUAAAAAUUGCAACUCACUGUGCUUCCCUGGGGUGCCCUCAGUCGGAACAGCCCCUCUGUGUGCAGGGCAGUCAGCAGUGGGCAGGAUGCUGCUGUCACUGCCUGGUGUUGGUGGAAAACAAUGAAUGGGAGCAGGGGAAUGGCACUCCAGAACAAAUCCAUUCCAGCCAGAGCUUGUUGCCAUGGGGAAAUGCUCAUUGCCCUGCAGCACUGUUGGUUGGAGGGGCCAGGAUGGCACCCGCAGCCUCGGGUGCUGCCCAGCUUGGAGAGAAGGAAAGCAGCUGCAGUACCAAGCGAGCAGGCUUGCACGUUCUCACCUCACUCAUCCAGGCGGCACCAAACCAGUCUGGUGUCGCUUGGGAGGGCUGUUACAUGACAGGGCUACAAAUUCCCCUAAACAGCUUGUUCUCACAUGCCAUUUGUUGAAGAAUUACAAGUCCUCUUGUUGCAGUCAGA